rnacentral:rRNA from 1 species
GAUUAUUUAUUUCACCCUUGUCUUUUGCGCACUUGUUGUUUCCUGGGCGGUUUCGCCCGCCACCAGGACCACACCAUAAACCUUUUUAGAUUAAUGCAUUAAGCGUCAGUAUAACAAAUGUAAAUCAUUUACAACUUUCAACAACGGAUCUCUUGGUUCUGGCAUCGAUGAAGAACGCAGCGAAAUGCGAUACGUAGUGUGAAUUGCAGAAUUCAGUGAAUCAUCGAAUCUUUGAACGCACAUUGCGCCCUUUGGUAUUCCAAAGGGCAUGCCUGUUCGAGCGUCAUUUGUACCCUCAAGCUUUGCUUGGUGUUGGGCGUCUUGUCUUUGUUCUCCAAAGACUCGCCUUAAAACGAUUGGCAGCCGGCCUCCUGGUUUCGCAGCGCAGCACAAUUUUGCGCUUGCAAUCAGCAACAGAGGUUGGCACUCCAUCAAGCCUUUUUUUCUUACGUUUGACCUCGGAUCAGGUAGGGAUACCCGCUGAACUUAAGCAUAUCAAUAAGCGGAGGAA